UACGUAGGGUGCGAGCGUUAAUCGGAAUUACUGGGCGUAAAGCGUGCGCAGGCGGUUUGGUAAGGCAGAUGGGAAAUUCCCGGGCUUAACCUGGGAACUGCAUUUGUGACUGCCAAGCUAGAGUGCGGCAGAGGGGAGUGGAAUUCCGGGUGUAGCAGUGAAAUGCGUAGAUAUGCGGAGGAACGCCGAUGGCGAAGGCAACUCCCUGGGCCUGCCCUGACGCUCAUGCACGAAAGCGUGGGGAGCAAACAGG
rnacentral:rRNA from 1 species